UGCUGUCAGAAGCCACAACAACAUCAGCUCUCAUGUAAAGACUCUCACUGUCCAGAGUAAAAGAGGACAAUGGACACCAGCAGCAGCUGCAGGAGUCUGUGCUGCUCUCCUGGUUAUAAUACCCCUCUCUGUCUUCUGCUGGAUCAGAAAGAAGAGGACUUCAGGUCAACCUCCAACAACAGAAACCUCAGUCCACAUGGAGCAGUUAAACCCUGGUCCUGUGUAUGAGGAGGUCUCAGCUCCACCAACAGAUUAGAAUGAUCUGGUCUACAGCAGAGUCCACUUCCCUCAGAACCACACAGAUCCUCUCUACAGCAGAGUCCAGCCACAUCCAGAUCCAGAACCGGAUCAUGUGCUCUACGAUGCUGUGAACUUCAGACCCAACAGGACCGCUGAGUGAACUUCUGUUGUCUUUACUGUUGAGUCCCUCUACUUUGUCACCUUGCUCAUGAGGACGAGCAGCAGUGUUACAUAUUAUCUAUAUUAUUUCUCCAUCUGAUAGACUGAGAGCUGCAGACCAGACAUCUCUGGUCUAAACACACAUUACCCAUGAACCUUGCUUAAUACAUAUAUUUUCAAUUUAACUCAGCUAUUAGCUUCAGUGU